AUGCUGACCUCUCCCCCCACCGCGGCCGGCCGGGCCCCUCGGGGCCGGGGAACGGCGGGCGGCCCGGGCGACGACCCAAGGGGACGGCUCCCGGCGGCUAAGAGGCUCCAGGGUCAGAGGUCUGCACGCCCGUCCCGAGGAGGGGGCCGCUCUCCCCAGCUCCCGGCAGCUGCGAGUGAGGCUGAACAGCCGAGCGCCCCCACUUCAUCCCCUAGGCGGCCCCGCCCCCGGCUUCCCCUUCGCCCCGGCCACGCCCCCUCCGAGCGCGGGGCCUUGUGGGAGUUGUGGUCUCGCGCGGCCGCGAGGGGGCCUCCUGCCGGAAGGCGGGGCAGGGGGCCGCGAGAACCCGGGAACUACAACUGCGGAGGCCGCUCCGCCUCCCCGGGGCCUUGGGCUCCACGCCGGCCAAUGAGGCAGGACCACGAGGGCCUCCAAAACAAGAGGAGGUGGCGCGGGGAGCGCUCCUCCCGGCCCGCCGCCGUCUCCGCUCCCCCUUCCCCGGGCGGUUGCUCCUGGAAACCGGGGAGAGAGGGGGCCGCCCCGCCCCGCCCUGUACGGUUGCUCCCUAACAUCGCACAGCCGCCAGGCUUCGGGAUCCGCCAGCUACCUACGCAAAUGAGGAACCAGUGGUGCAGGAUCUUCGACUUUCGAGCCGAAGCGUUUUCUUGGUUCGUUCAGUGUUCUGUGGCUUCACAUCUACUGCAAGUGCCUUAUAAGAAUCAGCCACCUCCACCUGCUACUUGGAGAGGUGACUUCGGCUCCUCUUUUAUUUUAUACGCCCCGGACGUGGAUGUCCUCUCUUCCCCGGCCCACUCCCUCUCCUCUGAUGAGAGAAACACAAUGCACGUUGGAGAAUGGGAACAAACCCAAUCGUUUAUAAUGAUGUAUUGGAACGGGGCUAUACGCAUAGAAGAACUGGAAGUGAUACAGAGCGGGUUCAUUUCCCGCCUCUAAAACAUCCUAGUUUGUUAUGUGUCUUUAGACAAGUUACUUAACCUCUGUGAGCCUCAAUUUGUUCAUCUAAGACAUCUGUCUCAGAACCAAUCCUGGAUGGGUGCCCCUAAACGUUUCCUGUGGACAGCUGGGAAGUAGCUUCAUUGGACAGGAAUAUUCCUGGAGAAGCCAGGAAGAUGAAACGGGCAGCCUUUCAUCAAGGCAAGGGAUUACAUGUGCUCAAACAGAGGUGUAUUGGGGCACUAUCGAAAAGACUGAGGAAAGUAAUGGACUUGUCAGAGGAUUGGUUGAGACCAAUUACUGGAAAUCCGUUACUUCAAGCAUUUUGGUUUUUCCUCAAACACUAUUUGAAAUGCCUUUACUCGUGGUGGUUGAAGCAAUGGCUUGAGACUGGUCUUGAACAGAUUACUGUAACACUUAAGAGACUUUGUGAGUUAGCAACGCUGCACUGUCUUCAGGCUUCCAAGAUACCAUCAAAUGUAUUGUGUUUCUUUGAUGAUUUUUUGGCUGGGUUAACUUGUGACUUCUAAUGAAGGAAAUCGUUGAUGAAUGGUUCUAAAUAAAAGCCAAGGUAAUGGGGUGGAAAUUUAAUAACACCAAUAAUUUUCACUUCUGAUGGCAAGCUGAAUUGCGGUUAACAAACCCGCUGAGUAGUGGCGAUCUGUUGUGUUUAAACAAGUGUAUUUGUACUGGUGUAUUAACAACCUGCCAAGGCUAUUUUGUUUUGAAAGUCGAUUUCCACCUGCGACUUAGUUAUAAAGGGAAUUUCUGGGUGAUGAUAGGAUUUCUCGAUUUUACUGAGGGAAUUUCUUCCCCUUUUCUUCUGACAAGUAAUAGGGAUUAAAGGUAAUUAAAAUGAAAGACCUUGGCCAGCCUGUGGCCUGUUAUUAGUUACCUACCUAAAGCAUUCACUGUUUUUCUUUAAUAUUUACUCAGCUGUGACACUCUCAAGCAUUUUCACUUAACAGCAUUAAAGCUGAUAAACUGGA